AGGGGAAAUUAACACAAGCAGAUGAUCAUCUUGCUCCAAUGUAAAUACACUUACUGAAGCAGGAGUUGUUCAUGUAUACAUUAUAUACAGAAGAAACAUAGAGAGACUGUUUUUCCAAAACAGAUCAAAUGCUGAUAUGGUUUUCUACAAAAAAAUCAUCUUUUUACCUGUAUUGGAAGUGUUGCAAGGCCUUCUGUGAUUUGUUGUAAUGAAGGUUUAUUUAUUUAUGUUUGAAAUAGCUGUUUAUUGGUUUCUUGUUGGAUAAUCUAGUAGGGAC
rnacentral:lncRNA from 1 species